rnacentral:rRNA from 1 species
AGCUCCAGUAGCGUAUAUUAAAGUUGUUGCAGUUAAAAGGCUCGUAGUCGAACUUAUGGCCCUGUGCUCCUGCCCCUUUCCCUAGUGGAUUGUGUGUCGGUGAGCACGGGUCAUCUACUCAAAGCUCAUUUCUGCCCUUGAUUGGGUUGGUUAUGUAAUUUGGGUCAUUUACCGUGAGUAAAUCAGAGUGUUCAAAGCAGGCUUCUAGCUUGCAUGGUUCAGCAUGGAAUAAUAAGAUAGGACUUCGGUUCUUUUUUGUUGGCUUUACGAACCAAAGUAAUGAUUUAUAGGGAUGGUUGGGGGUGCUAGUAUUUAGCGGUCAGCGGUGAAAUGCAUGGACCCGGUAAAGACUAACUUAUGCGAAAGCAUUCACCAAGGACAUCUUCUUUG